rnacentral:lncRNA from 1 species
GUUGAUCCAGGGACAACAACUAUUAAAAAUACUUAGUGAGUACAUAUAAGUCGGAGUUGUACCGGUUGAACCAAGUACAACUACCAUUACUGCAGGUACAACUACUAAUAAUACUUCAUGAAAACACAAUUCCAUAUCCAAAAUACAAAUUCAAAUAUUACAAAGAGUAGGUGGUAAUCAUACAAUAUUACCACCUUGAAAGUAACCCCCUAAGCCUCGCAAUCUCGACUUCUUUUGUGGCUAACCUCUCUUUAAGGUCAUCAAUUUCUUCACGCAUAAGACGAAGAGUUUCCCGGAUCGACUCCAAUGCAGGAUUUCCACCCCUCCCAUAUUCAAGAGAGGUUAACACGUCAUCUUUAUGUCUG